CUCAGCUGCUCUGGUUCCAGCUUCAGCUCAAGGGGGUCCAGGUAUAGCUUGAGCCAAAGCUCAGGAGGGCACAAUCUGUAAUCCUUCAUGGUUUCUAUCUAGUGUUAAGUCUGCCCGAGAUCGCACCACUGCACUCCAGCCUGGGUGACAGAGCAGGACUCCAUGUCAAUUUAAAAAAAAAAAAAAACUACCUGAGACUGGGUAAUUUACAAAGAAAAGAGGUUUAAUUGACUCAUGGUUCCACA
rnacentral:lncRNA from 1 species